AACGAACGCUGGCGGCAUGCCUAACACAUGCAAGUCGAACGAGACCUUCGGGUCUAGUGGCGCACGGGUGCGUAACGCGUGGGAACCUGCCCUUAGGUUCGGAAUAACUCCCCGAAAGGGGUGCUAAUACCGGAUAAUGUCUUCGGACCAAAGAUUUAUCGCCUUUGGAUGGGCCCGCGUUGGAUUAGCUAGUUGGUAGGGUAAAAGCCUACCAAGGCGACGAUCCAAAGCUGGUCUGAGAGGAUGAUCAGCCACACUGGGACUGAGACACGGCCCAGACUCCUACGGGAGGCAGCAGUGGGGAAUAUUGGACAAUGGGCGAAAGCCUGAUCCAGCAAUGCCGCGUGAGUGAUGAAGGCCUUAGGGUUGUAAAGCUCUUUUACCCGGGAUGAUAAUGACAGUACCGGGAGAAUAAGCUCCGGCUAACUCCGUG
rnacentral:rRNA from 1 species